rnacentral:lncRNA from 1 species
AUUUCACAAUGGCUCCUUUCCCCUCCCCCUAAAAUUAGCAGGAGAGGGUUUUCCUCAGAUAUUUACUGUGAGAACCUGGUCUGGAUCCUGGAGCAGUUGUUGCUUGUCAGUCUCUCCUUGGCCCUGUUUGCUGACAUUUUAGGCUUCAGUUGACACUUUUGGGUUCCUGACCUGCUCACAGCACUCAGCACAUAUCCUGUGCUCGCCCAUCUCCAAGCCUGCUCCCCCUGUGUAUGGUGUGGUGGCCUUCAACCUUUUCACCGGUUAACCGCUGCUCAUCCGACAAGACUCCGGGGAGGACGUUACGUGGGAAAAAUGAUUAAGCUCUACGUGCUCAAGGAGUGUUGGCCUUUAUGCUCUUAGAAUGGAUGGAUCCAGGGCUCAAGACCCUCCCCUUCCUACCUGCACCUCCUCGGCUUGGCUCUGCCCGUCCCCGCAGCUGCGGGCUUAGGGAAGUCCAGCAGCAGUGGGCAAUGCAGCUUUCCUUUGCCACAUACAGGAGGAGAGAGAAGAGGGAAAUACCUGCUUUUGUAGGACCCUGCCAGGAGCUAGGAAAAGGAAAAUGAACAGAUUUUUCUAUAUUUUUACUCUUUUCCUGAUUUUCAGCAGUGCAUGCAUUGGCCAGGUAGUUUUUGGAGGAGAAGAUCAAAAGUUCUUCCUGAGUAUUCUGAGCCUUUAUUGUCUUCAGCUCGAAAUAAUCCACAUACCAGAGUGGCGCAUCUUGGAGUGGCCUGCCCUGAGCCCCAUCAUUACAUUGUAAUGGCAUAUGCUGGAAUAUAGGACUUCCUUUCUUUUCUUGCUUCAUAUGUUUGUAUAGUCUACCCUCAUAAGAUUAUUCCAUCUUAUCAUUCACAUAACAUACACACUAAUUUAUUAGGCAAAACAAAAUAUAUUAGGUGAAGUCAAUGAUAUCUUAUUAAAAUACUAAUAUUGAAAAACAAAGCAGUUAGUAGAAGGAUAGGAGUUAUGAAACAUGCAAAUUCAAUAAAAUGGAGAUUAAGGAGGAUGAAGAUAUUUGAAGCAGUUUUUGGCAAGCAUUGCAAUAUUUAGCUGAACAUUUUUAUA